AUUGAACGCUGGCGGCAUGCAUUACACAUGCAAGUCGAACGGUAACAGGUUAAGCUGACGAGUGGCGAACGGGUGCGUAAUAUAUCGGAACGUGCCCAGUCGUGGGGGAUAACGUAGCGAAAGCCACGCUAAUACCGCAUACGGUCUACGGAUGAAAGCGGGGGAUUGCAAGACCUCGCGCGAUUGGCGCGGCCGAUCUAAGAUUAGGUAGUUGGUGGGGUAAAGGCCCACCAAGCGAACGAACUGUAGCUGGUCUGAGAGGACGACCAGCCACACUGGAACUGAGACACGGUCCAGACUCCUACGGGAGGCAGCAGUGGGGAAUUUUGGACAAUGGGCGAAAGCCUGAUCCAGCCAUUCCGCGUGCAGGAUGAAGGCCCUCGGGUUGUAAACUGCUUUUGUACAGAACGAAAAGGUUUCUACUAAUACUAGGAGCUCAUGACGGUACUGUAAGAAUAAGCACCGGCUAACUACGUGCCAGCCGCCGCGGUAA
rnacentral:rRNA from 1 species